UAGAUGAAGGAAAAGGAUUGCC
rnacentral:piRNA from 1 species